rnacentral:rRNA from 1 species
ACGGGUGAGUAACGCGUGGGAAUCUACCCAUCCCUACGGAAUAACGCAUGGAAACGUGUGCUAAUACCGUAUACGCCCUACGGGGGAAAGAUUUAUCGGGGAUGGAUGAGCCCGCGUUGGAUUAGCUAGUUGGUGGGGUAAAGGCCUACCAAGGCGACGAUCCAUAGCUGGUCUGAGAGGAUGAUCUGCCACAUUGGGACUGAGACACGGCCCAAACUCCUACGGGAGGCAGUAGUGGGGAAUAUUGGACAAUGGGCGCAAGCCUGAUCCAGCCAUGCCGCGUGAGUGAUGAAGGCCUUAGGGUUGUAAAGCUCUUUCACCGGAGAAGAUAAUGACGGUAUCCGGAGAAGAAGCCCCGGCUAACUUCGUGCCAGCAGCCGCGGUAAUACGAAGGGGGCUAGCGUUGUUCGGAAUUACUGGGCGUAAAGCGCACGUAGGCGGACUUUUAAGUCAGGGGUGAAAUCCCGGGGCUCAACCUCGGAACUGCCUUUGAUACUGGAAGUCUGGAGUAUGGAAGAGGUGAGUGGAAUUCCGAGU